GACGUAGGGGGCAAGCGUUAUUCGGAAUUAUUGGGCGUAAAGCGCUCGUAGGCGGGACUGGAAGUCCGUGUUGAAAGACCUCGGCUCAACUGAGGGACCGGCUCGGAUACUCUAGUUCUUGAGGCAAUCAGAGGGUGAUGGAAUUCCCGGUGUAGCGGUGAAAUGCGUAGAUAUCAGGAGGAACACCGGUGACGAAGGCGGAUCUCUGGGCCGAUACUGACGCUGAGGAGCGAAAGCGUGGGGAGCGAACAGG
rnacentral:rRNA from 1 species